CAGUCGCCACGGUAAUACAGAGGGUGCAAGCGUUAAUCGGAUUUACUGGGCGUAAAGGGCGCGUAGGUGGUUAUAUAAGACAGAUGUGAAAUCCCCGGGCUCAACCUGGGACCUGCAUUUGUGACUGUAUAGCUAGAGUACGGUAGAGGGGGAUGGAAUUCCGCGUGUAGCAGUGAAAUGCGUAGAUAUGCGGAGGAACACCGAUGGCGAAGGCAAUCCCCUGGACCUGUACUGACGCCCAUGCACGAAAGCGUGGGGAGCAAACAGGAUUAGAGACCCCCGUAGUCCCUGUCUCUUAUAC
rnacentral:rRNA from 1 species